CAGUUCAGAGAGGAGAUAAUGUUUGGUGUGAUUGGACUAAAGAUAUUCUGUAGUCAGCUCUCUUAUGCAGUUGCCCUAUGCUGUACAGCCUUUCCUUCUUGAGUUUGUAAUUAUAUUUUCAGGUGGAAGCCUUCACAUCCCAGCUUGAUCACUGUGUCAUGAGCUCCCUAUGUUUUGACCAUCCAAUGGCAGGACUCACAAGACUCAGAAUAGAGUUUGGAUCCAAUUGUCAAGAUAUAGUUUACCACAAUCAACAUAGAAAAAUUAACAAGGCUAAGGAGCACAUGUGCAAAACCAAGGGAAGAGAAUACUGCCAGGAGUUCAGUCCCAUGGGACUCACACUCAAUCUUUACGGCAGGAUAUGUGAAGUGUUGCCAACUAAAGACGCUUGGCAGUGAUUCGGAGCCCAGAGAUCUAACUGGAGCUGGUACCAAAAUUCCUGAAUCCCACAUAGAAAAACCUCAGUUCAUUCCGUCUGUUCCCACAGCUAAGCAAGAAAGGUUUCCUCAGUUCUGGCAAUGGUGGAAGAUUCAUGAAACAAGCUCAAGGCACCAAAUAAGGAGAGACCUUGUAAAGAGACGUUUAAAAGGAUGGCAGCAGGCCAGUGUUAACCUUGAUCCAUUCACCUAUGUGUAGUAUACAACGUUCUCAUCCUGUUUCCCAGAGAGGGUGGAGUUCCAUGCACUGUACUCCUCAGAUGCUUCGCCUGUGGCUGAUGUUGUAAUGAUGUGUAUCAGGUGCUAUGACCCUCUUUGUCCCAUUUCAGCAUCUUGCUUUUCUAUGUCUUUUCUGUGACUAUGGGCAGCUUUUUUCUGUCUUCUAUGGCAUCCUAACUCAAGGCCUGCCUCUCUCAGUUCUGGGAUGUCCUCAUGAGGUCUAAACUUGUUUUUCUGCUCCUCAAUAUUCACCUUCUUGGGCAAACUGAGGAUCAAUGCAACAAGGAUGCCCUGCUGUUAGGCUUCUGUUCUUCAUUGUCUCAACCUCAACACACAGGCUAGGCAUUUUCUCCCAUCAUUAAGCCAGUUUCUGCAUCUGGGCAUGGCAAGUGUAUGUCAAAACUUAGUUUGCUUAUUAAAGACCUCUGUGUCUUUAAUGGGAAGGAACAUAUGUGAAGAUUGGAAUAGGGCUGCUCUACAAAAUAAAGGCUUUUUAUUGAUCUUAAUUCAAUAGGAGUUGAGUUUGCAUUGUGAAGACUGAACAAUGGCCACAGUCCAUUCAUUGUCUCCUCCCUAGACUUCCUGUAACUCAGUGGAGCUACCCUGGACUAUAGGGAUGAUCUGCUACCCUCAGCCUGUAAGAUCCUUGAAUAUAGGAAAUAGAUCCAGGCAUGAUAGGGGAGGGAAGGUUGGCAGCAGAGUGUGGGUAGAUUUCUGGAGAUCUUUCUUUGAGGAUAGAAACAGUUGUUGGUGGUAAAAUACAUUGUUUCUGUCUUGGAAUGGAAUUAAGAAGGAUGUGAAACCUAGAGCACUGGACACCAUUUCUGGCUAUGAAAAACUACUCCUAUGAUAGUUGAGUCCAAACAUGGUAGAAGGUGGCUCUUUAAUAACAUCACUAGGGAGUUGAACUUGCAUCAGGAAUACCCAGAACCCAGCAGUUAUCUGUGCGAAAUACGUGAAUAUUCUUGUAGUUAACAACACUUUCGGUUGAACAUCUUUAUACAGAGAAAAAGCAAACUCUAAACCCCAAACAGAACAAAACAUGUUGAUGAAUCAGGAAAACCCACAUUAUAAAAUUAAGUGUACACACACAAUCACAUGCACACACAUUUAAUAUCCUUAUGGGGAGUCACUGCUUGUUGGAUAUUCUAAUAACACAUUGUUGGAGUAUAAUCCAAAAUUUGAAGACAGAUCCUCUACCAUCAUGCUUCUCUGUCGGGCCUUUUGUUGCCCUAGGUCAUAGUAAAUUUUAAGCAAAAUGUUGUCAAAUAAAUAGUUUCUUGUUCAUUGACCUUCAUUCUUCUUUCCCUAAAGGCAUAACCACAGGUGUCAAUUUCAUUUUGGGUUAAUAAAACCAAGCCUAGCUCUCAAUUAUACCAGCUGUGUUUUUCUAUAAGCCAUUACAAUAACAACUCAGCAGUAUUGAGGCCAUUUUUAUAGGACUGACUCAAAGACAUCAUGAGUAGUUAGUGCAUCAAUUUUUACAUCAGCACCAGAGUGACUUCAGACUCAGGGGCUACUACAGUCUAUUGGAUUCUGCUCUCCAUUCCUCUACUUUGGAGCAUGGGUUUACAAACAGGACUGGAGAAUUCUUCACAGCCUCUGCUCCUUGCUUGGGGGUAUCUGUGUUUGCAUGUUAUAGAGUCCUGUUGCCUGCAGAGUAGAGGUGCAUACCACAGCUAAUACACAUUAUUCCUAAGCAUCAGAAGAGCCUCCAGUGGGCAAUGAGUCUCAGUGACAUCUUAGCAACAAUCACAUCAUGAAGCUUCAUAAUAUUCUCUGAAAUCUGAAGAAAUAAAUGCCAGGAUUACAAACUGUACCCUUUUCAGAACGGAAGUUAAAAUGUUCAUUAUUUAAAAGAGAAGCAGUUCGUGUCACCAUGAGAAAGGUAAUGACAAGAAAAAAAGAGAAAAACUGGAAGAUGGGGUGGGGGGAGUUGUCAGACUAGUUGGACACUCCAUUUCUGCUUGCAGACCUAGUAAAGCCCUCCUGAUACCAACAAUGAAGAGAAAACUGUAUAAGAAUUUGGGACUAUGAAUGCUCCAUUCUCAUUCCUGGCUUUGUCUGAGGUGAAAGGGCCUCAUCAGGUCCAGGACUAGAGUAAAGUGUAGCCCUACUAAGAUCCUCUGCAGGUUCAGACCAACAGAGUUUAAAAAUAAAAAAACAACUCCUAGAUGUACAUUUUAUUUCUUUAAUUCU
rnacentral:lncRNA from 1 species